rnacentral:rRNA from 1 species
UGGUAUAAGAUGAGCUUGCGUGACAUUAGCUAGUUGGUGAGGUAACGGCUCACCAAGGCUACGAUGUCUAGGGGUUCUGAGAGGAUGAUCCCCCACACUGGUACUGAGACACGGACCAGACUCCUACGGGAGGCAGCAGUGAGGAAUAUUGGUCAAUGGGCGCAAGCCUGAACCAGCCAUCCCGCGUGCAGGAUGACGGCCCUAUGGGUUGUAAACUGCUUUUAUACACCAAGAAAAACACCCACGUGAGGGCUAAUGACGGUACCGUAAGAAUAAGGAUCGGCUAACUCCGUGCCAGCAGCCGCGGUAAUACGGAGGAUCCAAGCGUUAUCCGGAUUUACUGGGUUUAAAGGGUGCGUAGGCGGCUUUUUAAGUCAGUGGUGAAAUUCUUCGGCUCAACCCCGUAUUGCCAUUGAUACUGCCAGUCUGGAGUAUGGUUGAGGUAGCUGGAAUGUGUCAUGUAGCGGUGAAAUGCUUAGAGAUGACACAGAACACCGACGGCGAAGGCAGGUUACCAACCCAUUACUGACGCUGAGGCACGAAAGCGUGGGGAUCAAACAGGAUUAGAUACCCUGGUAGUCCACGCCGUAAACUAUGAUUACUAGUUGUUGGCGAUACAUUGCCAGUGACUGAGCGAAAGCAUUAAGUAAUCCACCUGGGGAGUACGUUCGCAAGAAUGAAACUCAAAGGAAUUGACGGGGGCCCGCACAAGCGGAGGAGCAUGUGGUUUAAUUCGAUGAUACGCGAGGAACCUUACCUGGGCUCGAACGUAUAGGGAAUUAUGCCGAAAGCAGGCCUUUCUUCGGAGCCUGUAUCGAGGUGCUGCAUGGUUGUCGUCAGCUCGUGCCGUGAGGUGUCGGCUUAAGUGCCAUAACGAGCGCAACCCUUGUCGUUAGUUGCCAUCAAGUAAUGUUGGGGACUCUAGCGAGACUGCCACCGUAAGGUGUGAGGAAGGUGGGGAUGACGUCAAAUCAGCACGGCCCUUAUGUCCAGGGCUACACACGUGUUACAAUGGCCGAUACAAAGGGCAGCUACCAGGUGACUGGAUGCUAAUCUCCAAAGUCGGUCUCAGUUCGGAUCGAAGUCUGCAACCCGACUUCGUGAAGCUGGAUUCGCUAGUAAUCGCAUAUCAGCCAUGAUGCGGUGAAUACGUUCCCGGGCCUUGUACACACCGCCCGUCAAACAAUGGAAGCUGGGGGUACCUGAAGUCUGUAACCGCAAGGGGCG